AGAAUCAACUACAUAAUAUCUCAAUAGAAUCGACAAGUAAGUUCGCAUUUGGAUUAAAUGCGAAUCCGAAUUCGAAUCCAAAUCCAAAUCCAAUGAAGAAUAGUGAAUAGAUAGAAAAUGAUUUUUGCAUGAUGAAUAAAUUAAUGUAUCUAUUCUAGGAGAUUGAUUAUUAGAAAUCAACGCUUCGAGUUUGUACGAUUGGAUGCCUUUCUAAUUUUUUACAAAAAAGCAGUGAAUCAUUUAUCAUUUUUCGCUUAUUUAUUGUUUCUUUCUAUAUUCAAUAUUUAAUGUUAACAACUAUAUAGAAAUUUCAACAAAUCACAUAUAAUUUUUAUAAUUUUAAAAUCUUAAUAAUUUAUCUAUAUAAUUUUAUAUAAUUUUAAAAAAAUACUAAUAAUCUACUCAUACAAUCCUAACAAUCAAAUAAAAAUUCUAAUAAUUUGCAUAUAAUCCUAACAGCCUCACUUUUUUUUAUUUUUCAUAUAAUCCACGUACAAUUUUAAUAAUUAUGAAGACAGUAAAUCGUUAACCAUCUUAAUAAAUACGGUAAAUGCGAUGAACAAUUCACCGUCUUUAAAAGGUAUGGAAGAAUACGCCAAUACUAUGAACGAUUCACCGCGUUUUGAAAAAAAAUUCUACGCGGCUCCUACGUAGCGACGAGAGUGUUAGUUUGCAAAAUAUAAAUUUGGCAGAAUUAUUUUUUAAAUUACAAAAUUUGAACAGUUUGCUGUGCCAGAAAAAUUUUUAAAAAAA
rnacentral:lncRNA from 1 species